GUGAAAUUUCAAAAAAAAGAUGAAAUAAACAUGCGUUUUAUAUUACAUCUUUGUAUUGAUGUAUAACCUUACCAAAAUACAUACAUAUAGUUCUUCAAUGAUGAAGAUAAUCAUCAGUUGGUGGUAUGAGCAGGACCUGAAGAAGAAAGGGGAGAACAACAACUAUUUCCUUAUUGUUACAUUAAAAUAUCUUCAGCUUUCGGAGGUAAUUUUAAUUUUGGUUUAUCAAAGGAGCUUAAAGUUUGCCUAAAGCCCGAACAUUUAUUUCAAUUGAAUGUAAACAACAGUUAUUGUGUUUCAUACCUAAAAGACUAUUAGAUAAAGGCAACAUUAAUAUACCGCUGUUCGAAAUUCAUAAAUCGAUUGAGAGAAAACAAAUCCGGGUUACAAACUAAAACUAGGGUAAACACAUUAACUAUAAGAAGAAAACAACGAAACAACAGAAACACUGAAGUGCAACAAAAAAGACAAAACGAC
rnacentral:lncRNA from 1 species